AUCCCUCUAUCCGCUGUACGGAAAGUACGGAAAAUAAAUAGUUCACUUGACUGUCACGUGACUGACAAUACAUGUUGGAAACAGCCAAGUGAUCAGCCUUAUCGUUGCUGUGUCUCAAGCAGUAUAGAGUAACCAGGCCAGUUCCACGAAGAAUAACAAGUGUCACACUGGUGGGUAUAAUAUUACACAUAUAAGUUCGCCGUGACAUGUCGGCAGUGACGUGCUAGUUUAGCCUUGGGAUACAAUCACCGUGAGGCGGACACGUGGAGUUGUGAUAUUGAGGUUGUCCUUCUACUGACAUUUCAACGCCAAAACGCUGGGAUGUGGUGGAAAUACUUAUUGCUUGUGACCUUGACCCUGUGUGUCAUUAGUGACGGUAUCUCGGUUAGGGACUCGAACUCGGGACCAAGAAGGGCCAGACUGACGCAACUUGACUAUCGGAGAGACUUCACAAUUGGACCUGAUGAAAGAGACUUCUCGUUUCUGAGCAAUUCUCAGAGAUAUGGAUAUACAGAUUCCAGUUGACCCACGGAUACCAACCAAAGUGAGCCCCAUCCUGCUGUCACAGAUGUGCGCAUACUGUCGUCAACAAGGGAACCAGCCGUGUAUCGACCGAAUUUGUUCCAGGACAACAGUAGAGAGGGGCAGUGCGGUAGCCUAGUGGUUAAAGUGUCCCUCGUCACACUGAACACCCGGGUUCAAUUCCCUACAUGGGUACAAUGUGUGAAGCCCAUUUCUGGUGUCCCCGCCGUGAUAUUGCUGGAACACUGCUUAAAGCUCACUCACUCACAACAGUAGAUAGAAGGAGCAGUACAAUGAUUGUACUCACGCAAAGGAAUGAGUUUCAGUAACGAUGUUCCACCUAUAUCAUGGCUCGCGAUAUCAAUGUAGGAAGUUGCUAUGAUGAUGUCCCCUCCCUGGUAAUGCUGCAAUACUGCACAGCGUAGAAACUUACUCACUUAUUCACUCGUUCAACAUUCAGGAUGAAGUAAUAUCAAUGGAUCUCCAGUUGAGAUCCUGGGCGAUUUUGUGUAUUUUAUUUAACGAACUUUCACAUAUAGUGUACAUUUCUGUCAUAUCAUAUGGACUAAAUAUCGGGGCUGGAAUAUAAUGCCAGUAAAUGGAAACCUUCUUUGAGUAAAGCAUAGAAAUUGUAACUAACUGUGGUGUUCAGUGACACAGCUAGUAUAUAUGGUAUAUAUGUAUAACUCCUUUGUGUACAAGAUUAAUACCUGUUUGCUCUGACACUAUUGGAUGGUUGUAGUGUAUUGUAAACUGUUUGCUAAUAAAAACAAUUGUUUGGGGGA